UUAUUUCUCCCCAAUUCUCAGUAACAUUCCUUUCCGAAGUUGCUUUUUCUACGAACAAGACAAUUAGUAACACAGACGAUAAAAAAAGUUUCGAAAGAGCCCGCUGUACCAUCUGAGCACGCGUUCUAUGAUGUCAUACUAAUCAAUGAUAGGAAAUACAAUUGUGUUGUCACCACUUGUCUUGGCACUUGGCACCACAAACACCGGUUCUGGCUAAAGGGUCUUGCCUGGAAAACAGAUGAGCAGAACUGUUUAAAUUUUUGCCAGAAACAUGACUUAGUGGGAUGCCUAUGAAAAAUAAUUUAACGUCUACAGUAUAGACGUUGUAAUUACAAUUUUUAUCUCAUAUCAAUAAAAUCAAAUUCAACGGAGCAAAAAA